GACGAAGGUGGCGAGCGUUACUCGGAAUACUAGGCGUAAAGCGUGAGCAGGCGGUUCGGUAAGUCUGUUGUGAAAGCCCCCAGGCUCAACCUGGGGAGGUCAAUGGAUACUGCCGGACUUGAAUACGGGAGAGGUCGCUGGAAUUCCUGGUGUAGCGGUGAAAUGCGUAGAUAUCAUUUGGAACGCCAAUGGUGAAAACAGGUUGCUGGGAGUGUGCUGACGCUGAGACACGAAAGCCAGGGGAGCGAACAGG
rnacentral:rRNA from 1 species